GACGAACGCUGGCGGCGUGCCUAAUACAUGCAAGUUGAGCGCUGAAGGUUGGUGCUUGUACCUACUGGAUGAGCAGCGAACGGGUGAGUAACGCGUGGGUAAUCUGCCUUUGAGCGGGGGACAACAUUUGGAAACGAAUGCUAAUACCGCAUAAUAACUUUAAACACAAGUUUCAAGUUUGAAAGAUGCAAUUGCAUCACUCUAAGAUGAUCUCGCGUUGUAUUAGCUAGUUGGUGAAGUAAAGGCUCACCAAGGCGAAGGUACAUAGCCGACCUGAGAGGGGGGUCGGCCCCAUUGGGACUGGGGCACCGGCCAAACCCCCACGGGGGGCAGCAGUAGGGGAACCUCGGCAAAGGGGGGAAGGCUGAACGGGCAACGCCGGGGGGGUGAAGAAGGGUUUCGGAUCGUAAAACUCUGUUGGUAGAGAAGAACGAUGGGGAGAGUGGAAAGCUCAUCAAGUGACGGUAACUACCCAGAAAGGGACGGCUAACUACGUG
rnacentral:rRNA from 1 species